rnacentral:lncRNA from 1 species
AUGAGAGAAUACUGGGAGUGGCCAUGUUUAAAGGGGAUAGGAGUGUGUGGGGGAAGAAGGGGUAGAAGAGAGAGUUAAAUAAAAUUAAAGAUGCAGGAUGAAGGUACCCAGACCUUUUGGGGAUAUUUACCUAGUUCUUCAUAGUUUCGUGUCAAGCUACAUCUCAAGUAGCCCAAAGGACCUUGCUCAAAUCCAUACAUUAUGGAGCCUCAACCACCCUUCAAGUAAGCUAAACGCUUAUCACAGAUUUG